UGUCUCGACAACAGGUGUUUUGAUCUACCAAUUUCCUAUAAAUACCCAAUUUUGUAGGAGUUUUUUCUACCAUAGUCCUAUCAAAAUGGAUCAUUGACAAUUUUAACUGAUCUUUGGCUAACAUUUUAAAAUUUUGUGUCUAGUAGACUCUGCAAAUAAUAUUACGGAAUAAUAAAUAAAGUGGGAAAUAUAAAACGAAAUUUCAGCUGCUGAAACCACUAAAGAACCGAAGACAUUUGAUAUAUACAUAAGUAUCUUCAGAGCUACAAUCAAAAAUUGAUUUGUGAAAGCUGCCUCCCCAAACAGCAGCUAGAGCACGACAAUCCCGGCUUUUUUAAGCCGGAAAAAUCUGCAGUAUGGCCACGGGCUCGAGAUGUUAUUUGGCCCAAGGACCAGACGCAAAACAGGAAUGUCCACUUGAUAUCAUGCAUGCGAAAAUAGCAACUGGUCUGAGCCGGAUCCCGAGUAAGCGAUGCAUGAUAAAAAAUACUUGUGGGGGUUCAAUGGGUUUUAAAUUAAAUGUAUGGAAAAAAUCGAUGUACAGAUAUAUUUUUUUAGCUUAACAUGCAAGUCCUAAUGUUAUUGUAAAACUCUUAUAAGUAAAUACAUAGCAUAUAUUUUUUUAUUUCUGUGCAAUAUUGUAAGCUA